AUACGUAGGUGGCAAGCGUUGUCCGGAUUUACUGGGCGUAAAGGAUGUGUAGGCGGAUACUUAAGUGAGAUGUGAAAGCCCCGGGCUCAACCUGGGGACUGCAUUUCAAACUGGGUAUCUAGAGUGCAGGAGAGGAAAGCGGAAUUCCUAGUGUAGCGGUGAAAUGCGUAGAGAUUAGGAAGAACAUCAGUGGCGAAGGCGGCUUUCUGGACUGUAACUGACGCUGAGGCAUGAAAGCGUGGGGAGCAAACAGGAUUAGAUACCCUGGUAGUCCACGCCGUAAACGAUGAGUACUAGGUGUAGGAGGUAUUGACUCCUUCUGUGCCGCAGUUAACACAAUAAGUACUCCGCCUGGGAAGUACGGUCGCAAGAUUAAA
rnacentral:rRNA from 1 species